UACGUAGGGAGCGAGCGUUGUCCGGAUUUAUUGGGCGUAAAGAGCGCGUAGGCGGCUCGGUAAGCCGGAUGUGAAACCUCCAAGCUCAACUUGGAGCGGCCAUUCGGAACUGCUGUGGCAAGAGUCUGGUAGGGGAACACGGAAUACCUGGUGUAGCGGUGAAAUGCUUAGAUAUCAGGUGGAACACCAGUGGCGAAGGCGGUGUUCUGGGCCAGUACUGACGCUGAGGCGCGAAAGCGUGGGGAGCGAACAGG
rnacentral:rRNA from 1 species